rnacentral:rRNA from 1 species
GAGCACACCAGGAGUGGAGCCUGCGGCUUAAUUUGACUCAACACGGGAAAUCUCACCCGGCCCGGACACUGGAAGGAUUGACAGAUUGAGAGCUCUUUCUUGAUUCGGUGGAUGGUGGUGCAUGGCCGUUCUUAGUUGGUGGAGCGAUUUGUCUGGUUAAUUCCGAUAACGAACGAGACUCUAGCCUAUUAAAUAGGUGCGAGGUUCUCUGCACCUUACAACCUUCUUAGAGGGACAAGCGGCUUCUAGCCGCACGAAACAGAGCAAUAACAGGUCUGUGAUGCCCUUAGAUGUCCGGGGCCGCACGCGCGCUACACUGAAGGAAGCAGCGUGUAUUUGCCCCUGUCUGCAAAGACUGGGUAACCCGUGGAACCUCCUUCGUGAUUGGGAUAGGGGCUUGAAAUUGUUCCCCUUGAACGAGGAAUUCCCAGUAAGCGCGAGUCAUAAGCUCGCGUUGAUUACGUCCCUGCCCUUUGUACACACCGCCCGUCGCUACUACCGAUUGAAUGAUUUAGUGAGGUCUUCAAACUGGCGCUCGGAGCGUCCUUUCGGUCGCGCCGGCGUGCUGGGAAGAUGACCAAACUUGAUCAUUUAGAGGAAGUAAAAGUCGUAACAAGGUUUCCGUAGGUGAACCUGGGAA